UACAGAGGUCCCAAGCGUUGUUCGGAUUCAUUGGGCGUAAAGCGCGUGUAGGCGGCUUUGCAAGUCGGGUGUGAAAGCCCUCAGCUUAACUGAGGAAGUGCGCCCGAAACUGCAGAGCUUGAAUACCGGAGAGGAUGGCGGAAUUCCCCAAGUAGAGGUGAAAUUCGUAGAUAUGGGGAGGAACACCGGUGGCGAAGGCGGCCAUCUGGACGGCUAUUGACGCUGAGACGCGAAAGCGUGGGGAGCAAACAGG
rnacentral:rRNA from 1 species